AUUUGUUUAUUUGUUGGAGUUUUUUUUAGGCAAUUCUAAUCUCCAUCUUUGUUUGUCUCUAGGGCAAGAGCUAUGGACAAAAUCAGUAGUUGAAACAAUGAAAUAGAAUCCAAAAAAAUAUAGAGACAAAGAAUGUUUCUAUGCCACAUAGAGAAGAAUAUCAAUAUGUUUUCACCAAUCAUUCAAUCAACCAGAAUUGAGUGAAUGUGUCUAGAGGGACAGAUAUCAUCAGAACUCUGGAGACCCCAUCUGCCAGUGCAAGAACACAUCUCUUGUAUGAAGCAAAGUGUUCAUAUGUGCCACAUCUCAGGGAAAGGAAACUUCUUAAAAUCAGGACUCACCCUCACAAGUAUUGAUUCAUAAUUAAAUUAUGUUCCAUCAUAUUAUUUGAAUUAAAUCAUCAUUAUCUACAUCAAGUAAGUCA
rnacentral:lncRNA from 1 species